ensembl:scaRNA
GGCCUGUCUCCCGUGGGGCUGUGGGGGUCCCUCUUCUCCCCAGCCAGGGCUGGAGGCCGAGAUUAGCCCUCUUGAGGCCAUCGUCGGGACUGCAAGAGCUGAGCAGCCUCGUUUUCCUACCUCACACAUCU